rnacentral:rRNA from 1 species
ACGAACGCUGGCGGCGUGCUUAACACAUGCAAGUCGAACGGAAAGGCCCUGCUUUUGUGGGGUGCUCGAGUGGCGAACGGGUGAGUAACACGUGAGUAACCUGCCCUUGACUUUGGGAUAACUUCAGGAAACUGGGGCUAAUACCGGAUAGGAGCUCCUGCUGCAUGGUGGGGGUUGGAAAGUUUCGGCGGUUGGGGAUGGACUCGCGGCUUAUCAGCUUGUUGGUGGGGUAGUGGCUUACCAAGGCUUUGACGGGUAGCCGGCGUGAGAGGGUGACCGGACGGACGGGGGGAGGGAUGCGGACGCGACUCGUACGGGGGAGAGCGAGGGUGAAGAGGGACGAGUGGUGGAGCGACUGGUGUGGCACGACUGUGGUGGUGCUGGCGUCUUGGGGGUUGUACGCCGCUUCCGCGGUUGACGAGGCGAGGGAGAAGAGAGUGGCAAAAGAAGCCCCGACUAACUACGUGCCAGGAGUCGGGGUAAUCAUCGAGUAGCACACGUCUGACC